GUCUGACACGCUAUAGCCCAUGGGGUCGCAAAGAUCGAACAUGACUGAGCAGCGAGCACACGCCUUGUGGAAGGGGAUGGGGCAAGGCACAUACAGCUCCAAGGCACCUCACACAUGCAGGGCACCUGGUGGCUGCUUAACAACAAUUCUCUAGGAUGACAGUUGGUAGCCUUUACUAAUGUAGCAGUCUCUUUUCUGAGUAGCUCAUAACAUGUUGAGACACAAUAGCAUUUUUGAAAUAAAAGAAACUAACAUCCCAAACAAAGACUUUUCCAGCAGUGUCAACACGUGGGCUGUUGUUAGAAGGUAACCUAGGACACUGAGGGUGAUUUUCAUGCCUGGAAAUAAUUUGUGUCUGGGGUCGUGACCCUUCCCAAACACCUUGUUGUUUAUAUCUGCUUUUUAAAUAACAAAUGGUCCGGUGACUGUGAGGUUUGUACUGAGGCAACAGCCAAUGAAGUCUUAAGUAGACUGCCCAGGUAUUGUGAUGAAAACAACCUUAGAAAAUACCUGAAGAAGCCUCAGAAUUCAGAGAAUGCAUACCAGAAAUAAAAGCUAGUGAAGGUGAGAGACGUGGGCCUUUUGAACACAUCAUAAUCCAAAAAAAAAAAAAAAAGUGAAGAGUGCCCUUAAUUGAUGAAACAGAAUGUAUCUUCUGUUCUAGGGAGCCAAAUUAAAUUGUGAUCAGACCAGUAUUGUAAGGCCUGAGAAGCCUGUAAGAGUCCAGAUUUUUCCCUGGGGAAGCUUUUGUAGGGAUACAUACUCCCCAGAUACUGCUUUCAAAUCCAGGUCAUAACCUGCAAGCACCUUUGCCCAUCUUGCUGUGAAAGCUCCCGGAGCAGCAGGUGUUGGCUUCUGGGGUUGAGAGCAAAUGCUCCAUGUCCUUGUGUGAGCUGUUCCCCCCCUGGUGUUACUUGAUGAUGUUUUUUAAUUUUUUACCACGCCUUUUUUCAAAAACCUUUGAGAGGACUUGCUCAGCAGAUGAUAAUGAGUACAGUUCUAGUCCUGGAUAGGUUUUGUCCCGAAGGCUUUUCUUUCAGUCAGGGGCUUGAAUUGGGUGUGACUGCAGAGAACCUGCUGCGCUGAUGUCAGAAGGUGGAAAGACCCCACAGGUGAGAACCAACAUCCAGGGCUUCCCGAGGCUCCAGGAGGCCUUGAGAAGUGAGACAGGUGAGCCCGUACAGGAGGAGCAGGGAACUAGGAUGCUCGUCCUGCCUCCCACUGAUGGCUGUGUGACCCAAGCAUGCUUCAACCCUCAGGGUCAGAGGUCCCUGCCUCUUCCUAGUUUCUCAACAAAGAGCUCCAAAAGUGGUUGCUGUAGGCUUUGCCAGCAUCUUUGGAUGGGGUGGUGGAUGGUUGCUUUUUUAUAGUGCAGAUUCCCACCUUCCUCUCUCGACCUCUUGGAUCAAAAUCUCUAGGGAUGGGGCCUGGAAAUGUGUAGUUUUAACAUGUGUCUUCAGGUGAACUCAGACAGCCAGUUGUGGGAACUAGGGACCCUUUGAGUUGAACAUCUGAGACCCUGUUUUUGUGAAUCACUCACAGGUCUGUUCUCUGGGUUGACCCAGUCCUGGCUCCUGGAACUGGUCUCCAUUCCUGGCCGUUGUUUGGGUGCCCUUUAUGGGGACUGUUGACUGGUAUUGCUACAGGACACAACCCCUAAUGUAGAUUCUAUAAAACGCUUCAACGGGGAAAGAAGUUCCAUUUAUAAAACAGCAUCCAGAGCUACAGAGAGAGCAGAGUGGAGGCUAGAAGAGCAAAGACUUGGAUCAAUGGGGGUCCUCUCUGAGACGGAGAUCUUUUGUGCAGAGGCAGGAAUGAACAUGGAGUGCUGUCUCUGACUCCCCAGGUACAUGGGAGCCUGGGGACCUAGAGUGGCCUGUCACCUGAAAGGUCCUUUCCCUGGAGCAUAAACAGUCUCCUUUCUGUGAGUACAAAGUCCUUGAGGUCAGGGCCCAGAUUGAAAACAGAGCUGGAAACUUCUAGUGUGGUGGCUACAGAAAUUGUUUUGAAAAUCUUGUUGACAUUUCUCUGGCCACAGCACCUAUAAUAAACAUAUUUAAGAAAGAGGGAGAAAAUACUUUUGAGUACAUGACCUAGGCACUCUACUGAGUUUUUUUCUUGGUGGUAUUUUAGGGGGUGGGUUUGUUUUGCUCUUCAUUUUAGUUUUCAGCUUUCAGAGUUGCUUGCUUGUCCUCUCACCCAGUUCAUAAAAGGAAUAGAAUUUUCCUUCUAUCUCAGGUCAACAUGGCGAGCAGGCCAGCCAUUUCAGCAUCAAGCAGGUGGAGCUGGAGGGUAUUCAAAAAUGGUUAUACAAGGCUGCUGGAUUCAAUAAACUGGGCUUAAUGCCAGAUGAUACAAUAUAUGAGAAUGACGAUGUGAAAGAGCCAUAAGAAGGCUUCCUGAGAACCUUUAUAAUAACGGAGUGUUUCGCAUUAAGAGAGUGCUGGACCUGAGCAUGAGGCAGCAGAUCCUGCCUAAAGAGCAGUGGACAAAAUAUGAGGCAGAUAAAUUCUACCUUGAACGAUAUCUGAAAGAGGUUAUUCAGGAAAGAAAAGAGAGAGAGAAAUGGGCAAAGAAAUAAUUUAGUAGUCUAAAUCUGUGGAUACAGCUAUUCUUAAGUAUUUUUAUGAAGUUGGUUAAACCUGAAAUGUACAAUGUAGAACUGUUUGGGCUGUAAAUGUAUUGCUUUAAAUAAAUAUUAUAAUGUUGGGGUGGGGGGGAAGGAAUAGAAUUUUCCUGGAACUGGAAAAUACAGAAAUCUGACUUGACCCAAAGAUAUGCCCUUAAUGUAUACCUUCUUCCAGUUUUUUGUUUUUGUUUUUUAAUUCAGGGCUAAAAACUUUUAAAAGUUCCCGUACUUAAGAAAUGUGUUAUCCAUAUUACCCUCAUCCCUCCCCCACUCCCCCCAAAAAACCAACGUUCACUGGCCAUUGAGACCUGGUGGGGCCCAUUACUCACUGUGCAUCUGUAAUGAUUGACUUUGUGGGUGGGUACAGUUGUAAACUGACCUUGGAUUCAUUUCACAUUUACCCCUACUCCCUGCCUCUGUCAGCCAGUUGUUACUACAUAGUUAAUUUUUGACGAGAUAAAAGUGUAUUUGAAUGUUUUUAUAGAGUCCUUCACCGUGGUUGGAGAUGCCCUCAUCACCUCUCUUUACCAGAGAGAACUUGGCUUUUAAAAUUUUACAAAUCUAGAUGAGCAGAGAGCAGAGUGUUCUCGUGUUCCUUUUAGUUCAAGACUGUGAUCGAAGACUCUCACUACUUGUACAUGUCAAGCCCAUGUACCAUGGGUCCAAAACUCAGAACGUUGCUUUUGUGUAAGUUGGAUUUGCUUAUUUUGUUCAGUAGACAUUUAUUGAGCCCAUACUCCGUAUAGAGAAUCAUGAUACCUUGCACAUAAGAAGGAAUGUGAGUAAGGAAUAUAGCACUGUAGGUAGAGAGCUAGCAUCAUCCCUAAGUGCAGGUUGUAAUUUUCAGAAAACUCCCAAGUGUCCUGAAAACCCCAUCAUUGCAGGAUAAGCACACAUUCAAAGUAGAUGAGGAAACGCUGCCAGAUUAGCAAAUUCCAUCUUUCACUUCCAUGCAUAAUUAAAUAGCCACCAAUGCAAGUGUAUGUAAUGGACCCAGCCAGUCUUGCAAGUGUCCUGAGGCUCAUAGUAACAGAUGCUUUUAACUAUAGGUAAACAUCACAUCCUCAAAAAAGGAGCAUAUUUCAGAGAUAGAUACCAAGUAAAAAUAGUAUCUGUACUGCUUUUCUUCUAAGGAGCUUGAAACUCUUCUUGUAGCAACCCUGACUUGCGAGAAAUGCCUGUAGGCUUAGGUCACAGACGCUUGGGAAAUUUGUUUUGGCGCUAUUCCAGUGUGACCUGUUAUCCUCAAGAGGUGCCGAAGGGCGUGGGGGCUUACUGGGUUUUGUUGUGUCUCUGUAUGGUUUUAUAUUUUAGAACCACUGAACUUAAAAAUCUUUUAGUUCCUAAAAUAUUUAAUAACGCCCCUUUGAGAAUGUGAUCAGAAGAAAGGAGAAUUGAGACUCCUGAGCCCCAAGUUCUCGCUGAGCUCCCCUCAUCGUGUGUGAGGGAGCCUGGGUCAGUCCCGUCGCUUCUCUCCACACCUCGGCCCGCACCACGUAAGGUGGCUGUGAUGGCGCUCCCCUCUGAGUCGGGUAAAGCCAGCAUGUUGAAAUCCGUGUUAGAAAGGAACCAAAAGAGAAAGUGUUGCUGACAGUCCCUCUGUCCCACGAGGAUGAUGCGUGUGGAUUUGCAUAUACCCCAGGGUGGACACCCACUGGCUAAAUCAAUGGAUGAACAUAUCCAGCAACCCCAGAGUUGACCACGGCUUGUGGCACACUUUAGGGAAGCUCACCACAAAGCCAGGCUUCCUUGUUGAACCAGCGUUUCAGUCCAGCCCAUCUUGAAUGCACUACCUUCACGUUCUCUCCAGCACUAAAACAUCUCUCAUUCUCUUU